rnacentral:tRNA from 1 species
AUUAUCUUGGCAGAUUAGUGCGUUAAAUUUAGAAUUUAAAUAUAAAAUAAAUUAUUUUAGAUAAUA